CUACCUACCGCCCUGACUACUAUAACCACCGCAGCUGUGCCAAGCACAGCCGACCACCGGCUAGACUGCAUCCCUACAGCUGACCAAAUCAACUCUUGCCCAAACACGCCCACCAACUCACACGCACUUCUGCCAACGCCCUCACCCUCUACUCCCCGCAUAUACUACGCCACACCGCCACUACAAUCACAAUAUCAAGGUGAGCUGAAUGCGCGCAUGGCUACCACAGACAGCCGCACGGAGGAUUAUACAAUAGCCCCCAAUGUCCGCCACUACCAGCCGCCGCGGACCACCAGCCCAACGAAGCCCAGGCCAGCCGUGAUAACUGAAGUAACUCACAGCUCACACACUGAAUGCUGCUGCAUCACUUGCGCGCACGGUAUCUUAUUACCCGACAGCCACACUCCUCUCAUAGCAUAUGCAGCUCACAUAAUUUUGCCCGGCGUCACCCGCCAGCCUAGCCAGCCAGACUGCUACUACAGUGUCGCGCCUGCCAGCCCUGCCCGACGCCCCUCAACUUGCCUCGCCCUGCCGCCCACUAACUCACACGCACUCCUGCCAACGCCCUCACCCUCUACUCCCCGCAUAUACUACGCCACACCGCCACUACAAUCACAUUAUCAAGGUGAGCUGAAUGCGCGUAUGGUUAACAGAGACAGCCGCACGGAGGAUUAUACAAUAGCCCCCAAUGUCCGCCACUACCAGCCGCCGCGGACCACCAGCCCAACGAAUCCCAGGCCAGCCGUGAUAACUGAAGUAACUCACAGCUCACACACUGAAUGCUGCUGCAUCACUCGUGCGCACGGUAUCUUAUUACCCGACAGCCACACACCUCUCAUAGCAUAUGCAGCUCACAUAAUUUUGCCCGGCGUUACCCGCCAGCCUAGCCAGCCAGACUGCUACUACAGUGUCGCACCUGCCAGCCCUGCCCGACGCCCCUCAACUUGCCUCGCCCUGCCGCCCACUAACUCACACGCACUUCUGCCAACGCCCUUACCCUCUACUCCCCGCAUAUACUACGCCACACCGCCACUACAAUCACAUUAUCAAGGUGAGCUGAAUGCGCGUAUGGUUAACA
rnacentral:lncRNA from 1 species